GUUCGCGCUGAAGGCCUGUUUCCUAGGCUACAAACGAGGGACUGGUUCCUUAUUCGUGCCUAGGGGAAAGUCCCCGGACCAUGGGCAGAGAGUGCCGCGUGCGCGUGCACGUUGACUUUCCCUGCUUCACACAAGAAUGUCCGCCAAGAAGCGACCCCACCUGUGGCGGGUGAAGCUGAGCGGCGUGUUGGCUGGGGCGUCAAUCCGUCAGUAUUUCUAGUUACACAGGCAGUGCGCCUGAGCGCAUCAACCACACGGGGCUUAUUCUCAGCGCGGC
rnacentral:RNase_MRP_RNA from 1 species